rnacentral:lncRNA from 1 species
GUUCAUACCCUAUAAUAAUCUCCUGUGUAAAGUCACUGACCCAUUUCCACUGCUGCUCUCUCAUCUGCUGCUCUGAAGCCUAAACCAUGGUGCCCAGAAUCUUCGAUGCAACUCAUGAGAAGCUGGAGGACCUGGAGAAGCUGGCAACUCAAAAAGGCCAAAGGGUGCAGACAAUAAAAGCCCCAGACAAGCGUAUAGAACCACACGCCGUCUUUUUACUUGCCGAUCCUUCGUAUGAUGCAGACCAGUGAAUUAAGAGCCUCCAUGUCAUAGGAGGGGCUGGAGGAGAGGCCCCAGGGUUUGCCACC